rnacentral:ncRNA from 2 species
UCCUUAUCUAGAGAAGCCGAGGGACUGGCCUUAUGACGCUUCAGCAACCAGCAUAUUUCAUUUGUAUGUAUGGUGCUAAAUCCUGCAGACAUUAUAGUCUGAAAGAUGAGGG